GGGGAUGUAGCUUAGUGGGAAAGCAUGUGCCCUCCAUGCACAGAGUCCCAGGUUUAAUUUCUAGUAUUGCUU
rnacentral:tRNA from 1 species